GACGAACCGUGCGAACGUUAUUCGGAAUCACUGGGCUUAAAGCGCGUGUAGGCGGGCCGGCACGUCGGUGCUGAAAGCCCCCGGCUCAACCGGGGAACGGGCGCCGAUACGACCGGCCUGGAGGGGCGUAGGGGGACCGGGAACUUCCGGUGGAGCGGUGAAGUGCGUUGAGAUCGGAAGGAACGCCCGUGGCGAAAGCGCGGUCCUGGACGCCUGCUGACGCUGAGACGCGAAAGCCAGGGGAGCGAACGGG
rnacentral:rRNA from 1 species